rnacentral:rRNA from 1 species
CCUACGGGGGGCAGCAGUGAGGAAUAUUGGUCAAUGGGCGGGAGCCUGAACCAGCCAAGUCGCGUGAGGGAAGACGGUCCUAUGGAUUGUAAACCUCUUUAGGCGGGGAGCAAUGCCGGGCACGCGUGCCCGGAGGUAGAGUACCCGCAGAAUAAGCACCGGCUAACUACGUGCCAGCAGCCGCGGUAAUCCGUAGGGUGCGAGCGUUCAUCGGCAUUACUGGGCGUAAAGGGUGUGCAGGCGGUUUUGCAAGAUGGAUGUGAAAGCCCCGGGCUUAACCUGGGAAAGCCAUACAUGACUGCAAGACUAGAGUGCGUCAGAGGGGGGUGGAAUUCAAAGUGUAGCAGUGAAAUGCGUAGAUAUUUGGAAGAACACCGAUGGCGAAGGCAGCCCCCUGGGACGCAACUGACGCUCAUACACGAAAGCGUGGGGAGCAAACAGGAUUAGAUACCCUUGUAGUC